rnacentral:rRNA from 1 species
UACGGAGGGUGCAAGCAUUAAUCGGAUUUAUUGGGCGUAAAGGGCGCGUAGGCGGAGAUAUUAGUCAGAUGUGAAAUCCCGGGGCUCAACCUCGGAACUGCAUUUGAAACUGUAUCCCUAGAGGGUAGGCGGAGAAAACGGAAUUCCACAAGUAGCGGUGAAAUGCGUAGAUAUGUGGAAGAACACCGGUGGCGAAGGCGGUUUUCUAGCUUAUUCCUGACGCUGAUGCGCGAAAGCAAGGGGAUCAAACAGG